CCUAACCAGCACACAGGCGGUGUGAUGAGGAGGCCACACUUUCCAUUGCUGGGAGGAAACCUGAUCCAUGCAGGGACCCUUUCCGCUCGAGUGAUGUACCAGGGCUUGGCUGGAUGCAAGUCCUGCGGAGGAAAGAGGUAAGCCAGGAUUAGCAGUGCUGAAGAGGAACAAAAUAUAAUUGAUGUGAACUUAAAGGAUUUUGCCUCCGACUGUGCAUGAGAUGGAAUUGCCCUCGGGAUGAAUAAGAGGUGUGUAGCAAAGGAGCCAUUUGUCUGCAGGAUUCAGAUUUCAUUUCUUUCUGGAGUCUGAAUAAAGCUGAUUGGUAUCUAA